CCGUUACUGUGUCUCCUCUCCUAUCAAUCAAUUAUGCUCUUUAAUCCCCUUUUAAUUGUUUCGUCCUACCCAUCCUCUCUUUCUACUCAUAAAUAAAUUGCUAAAUUGCUUGGUCAAAACAAACUUCCAAGCAAAGCCGAACUCUUAGCUAAACGUCUUCUGACUUUUCAAUUUCUAAGAUUGAAAAACCUUUACCAAACAAUGUUUUCUCUGCGUCAUCAUCACAUACCUGAGUAUGAUCGGAGAAGAAGUAUCCUGAUCCAGUUCUCGAAGAGCCAAUCUUAGCUUUUGAUCCAUUCUCAGCUGCUUUAACGAUGAUCUCUUGUGGUGAAGACUCUUCGCAAGGGCUCUCUGAACUUCAUGAUCUCAGUCUCGGGUUAUUGCAGAGUGGUGAACAUCUUCUUGACAAUGUAUUUUAUGAAUGUGAGCAAGAUCUCAUGAUGAAAUCAAGUAUGGAGCUAUUUCUGUUGUUUUAAACAUCAAGAACAUCACUGCCGUGACAAUGGCAGCAAUCGGUAGAAUGGCAUAUGAUCGGGGUAGUUGAUCUCUUUUGAUUGGUCACAGGCACAACGGUUGUUGUGAUUCAGAAUUUCCCUUAUUUUUCUCAGUUGGAUUUUGGUUUUGAUUAUGGGAUGCCACGAGCCUUUAAAAGGCGACAUAUAGGUUUGAAAAACAUAUAACAUUUGCACAAUUCUGUAAACAUUCGUAUGUUGAGCCAUCAACAAUAUGAAACAAAACUUCCUGCUUUGUUGAAAUGAAUACGAAUUAUUGAUUCGAGUAUACCUUUUGAUAAGCAGAAACUCGGGACUGGUCAUUUUCAAUCUCCAUUGUAUAGGUUUAUUGUAAGCUGUAAGCUGUACUUCAGAGGAUCAGUACGAAAGUUGAGGAAAAAUGGACUCUACCAAGCACUGACAUGUCACAAUUCAAAAUCAUGCACUGAGUCACUGACUCAAGUGGUCAUAUGACAAUAUAGAGUUAGCUUUGCCAACAUGGGCUUCUUGCUUUUUGUGGUGGGACUCCUUAUAUAUGCAUACAUAUUUGGAAUACUACGACAAAUACUCAUUUAAUUUCCUGGGAUAUUUUAAUCAGGUACGCAAUCUAGCUUGGUCUAAGAACGUCUACGAGCUGGUUAGCACGCACAAAUGCUACUGAAACCAAAUCGUAGCCUGGAAACAGCUAACCAUCUCCAAAGUUUGGAGCAGGUGAAAGAGCAAAGAAGAGAGAUUCAGGAAGUCAGAUGUCAUUUUAAAGGAUUCUAUGCGGAACAGCCAUCUAGAACAACCCGAAGGUUGUUCCCGAAGAGAACAAGCGUUUGACUGUUCCCGAUCAUUAAGGGAACUUCCUAUUCCGGAAGUUUGCCCUAGAUUCCACUCUCUCCUAUCUCUUUACCACCAGCGCCUCCAUAUAAAAAGGCCUAUGCUAUUAUUUCUUUUUGUUACGCUAGUUUUGCAAGAGACCUAGAACUAUUUUCUUGGAUUA